AGAAGGAGUGUGGUCCACCGGAGGACUCCCUACAUUCUUCCUCCAUUACCUCACUGCCUCCGGUGGCUGCUGGGAUACCGGAGGACUCGGGUCCCGGCUCGACUCAGUCCUCCAGCCGCCCGGGGAAUACCUCUAGUUCUUCCCGGCCGCCGCCGCCGCCGCCGCCCCGCCGCUUCCUCCUCCGCCUGCCGGCCUCCUUCGCCCCGUCCCGUCCGCGCAGCGCGUCCGGCCCGCCCGCAGGCCAGCUUCUCUCGGGAGCCCCCACCCAGGCGCAUGGCUCCAUGAAGCAAGAGGAGGAGGCAGAGCGCGAGAGGUCCCGUCCGCCCCAGCCGCGUCUGGGCCAGGAUAAAAGCAAAACCAUAUUCCUGCUGCUGUCAGUUAUGAUGCACUGAGAAAACUUCAGAGACCUAAACUUUUUCCAGAGAAGAGAAGCUUUACUGGUGUUCCAGCCCUAAGAAACUUAAAUCCUCAGUGUGACACAACUCAGUCCUUCUACUGCAGCAGCUCUUUUAUAAAAGCCUCCCAAAGCUCCAAGAAGGAACAAAGAAUGUGACCCAGUAAGCUCACACCAUAAAUCUAUAUUGCAGAAACCUUUGUUCAAGAAAACGGCAGAUGCUCUGUUGAAUCCACUGGAGAUUGUUCUGAUACUAAGGACAACAACCAUCUUUCCUGUGAAAAAUUCCCUCUCGUACUUUAGUUCUGUGGAUCCAAAAUUUAUAGCAUUCUUCUACCACCACAGGGGCUCAUAUGACAUUAACAGACAAGACACUUUUCAGAAAGACAG
rnacentral:lncRNA from 1 species